GUAUAGUUGAGGUACUGAACUCUCUCUCUCUCUCUCUCUCUCUCUCUCUCUGUGUGUGUGUGUGUGUGUGUGAGAGAGAGAGAGAGAGAGAGAGAUGGAGGUACUACUAUUUCAG